rnacentral:lncRNA from 1 species
GCAAGUUGACGUCGGGCGCGGCCCUCGACGCGGCGGGGCUCGUGGCGGUGGCCCUCUGUCACGGGCUCGCCCUCUUCGUCGCCGUCGCGAUCGCCGCCAAUAUCUCCGGCGGCCACGUGAACCCGGCGGUCACCUUCGGAUUGGCUCUCGGGGGGCAGAUCACCAUCCUCACCGGACUCCUCUACUGGGUCGCGCAGUUGCUCGGCGCAGUCGUCGGCGCGUUCCUCCUCAAGUUCGCUACCGGACUCG